rnacentral:rRNA from 1 species
GACAGAGGGUGCAAACGUUGUUCGGAAUUACUGGGCGUAAAGCGCGUGUAGGCGGCUAUGUAAGUCGGGCGUGAAAUCCCACGGCUCAACCGUGGAAGUGCACCCGAAACUGCGUAGCUAGAGUCCUGGAGAGGAAGGUGGAAUGCUUGGUGUAGAGGUGAAAUUCGUAGAUAUCAAGCGGAACACCGGUGGCGAAGGCGGCCUUCUGGACAGUGACUGACGCUGAGACGCGAAAGCGUGGGGAGCAAGCAGG